UACGUAGGGGGCGAGCGUUGUCCGGAAUUACUGGGCGUAAAGGGUGCGCAGGCGGUUUUUUAAGUCAGAUGUGAAAUACCCGGGCUUAACCUGGGGGGUGCAUUUGAAACUGGGGGACUUGAGUGCAGGAGAGGAAAGUGGAAUUCCUAGUGUAGCGGUGAAAUGCGUAGAUAUUAGGAGGAACACCAGUGGCGAAGGCGACUUUCUGGACUGUAACUGACGCUGAGGCACGAAAGCGUGGGGAG
rnacentral:rRNA from 1 species